CCAAUGGACGAAAGUCUGACGGAGCAACGCCGCGUGAGCGAAGAAGGUCUUCGGAUCGUAAAGCUCUGUUGUCAGGGAAGAACAAGUACCGUUCGAACAGGGCGGUACCUUGACGGUACCUGACCAGAAAGCCACGGCUAACUACGUGCCAGCAGCCGCGGUAAUA
rnacentral:rRNA from 1 species